rnacentral:rRNA from 1 species
ACGGGUGAGUAACACGUGGGUAACCUGCCCAUAAGACUGGGAUAACUGCGGGAAACCGUGGGUAAUGCCGGAUAACAUUGUGAACCUCAUGGUUCGAAAUUGAAGGGCGGCUUCGGCUGUCACUUAUGGAUGGACCCGCGUUGCAUUAGCUAGUUGGUGAGGUAACGGCUCACCAAGGCAACGAUGCGUAGCCGACCUGAGAGGGUGAUCGGCCACACUGGGAAUGAGACACGGCCCAGACUCCUACGGGAGGCAGCAGUAGGGAAUCUUCCGCAAUGGACGAAAGUCUGACGGAGCAACGCCGCGUGAGUGAUGAAGGCUUUCGGGUCGUAAAACUCUGUUGUUAGGGAAGAACAAGUGCUAGUUGAAUAAGCUGGCACCUUGACGGUACCUAACCAGAAAGCCACGGCUAACUACGUGCCAGCAGCCGCGGUAAUACGUAGGUGGCAAGCGUUAUCCGGAAUUAUUGGGCGUAAAGCGCGCGCAGGUGGUUUCUUAAGUCUGAUGUGAAAGCCCACGGCUCAACCGUGGAGGGUCAUUGGAAACUGGGAGACUUGAGUGCAGAAGAGGAAAGUGGAAUUCCAUGUGUAGCGGUGAAAUGCGUAGAGAUAUGGAGGAACACCAGUGGCGAAGGCGACUUUCUGGUCUGUAACUGACACUGAGGCGCGAAAGCGUGGGGAGCAAACAGGAUUAGAUACCCUGGUAGUCCACGCCGUAAACGAUGAGUGCUAAGUGUUAGAGGGUUUCCGCCCUUUAGUGCUGAAGUUAACGCAUAAGCA